GAAGUCUGAAAGACAAUCGCUUAGCUUGCUAAGAGGAAAGUCCGGGCAGCACAGAACACAGUAGUCGUUAACGGCGACCGUUCGAACAUUUAGAAGUGUAGCAAUAUACCGAAAAAAUCUAAGAAUAGGGAAAGUACCACAGAGACAAUACCGCCUUCGGGUAAGGGUGAAAAGUGUGAGGUAAGAGCUCACGGCGCGCUAUGGUGACAUAGGCGAGGGCAAACCCUACUGGCUGCAAGGAGUGCUAGAGAAACCUUUGUUCGAGGAUGCACGCUCACCGCUUGAGUAUUCUGGCAACAGAAUAUCUAGAUAGAUGAUUGUCGGUCUACCUAAAGUCUCUUUCAUUGUGGUUAUCUUGUGGUGAAGGAGUAAAACCGAUCGUAGAUUACAGAACCCGGCUUAUUGAAGACUAAAAAA
rnacentral:RNase_P_RNA from 1 species